rnacentral:rRNA from 1 species
AACGAACGCUGGCGGCAUGCCUAACACAUGCAAGUCGAACGAGACCUUCGGGUCUAGUGGCGCACGGGUGCGUAACGCGUGGGAAACUGCCCUUAGGUUCGGAAUAACUCCCCGAAAGGGGUGCUAAUACCGGAUAAUAUCCUCGGACCAAAGAUUUAUCGCGUUUGGAGGGGCCCGCGUGGGAUUAGCUAGUUGGUAGGGUAAAAGCCUACCACGGCGACGAUCCAUAGCUGGUUUGAGAGGAUGCUCAGCCACACUGGGACUGAGACACGGCCCAGACUCCUACGGGAGGCAGCAGUGGGGAAUAUUGGAAUGUGGGCGAAAGCAUGAACCAGCAAUGCCGGGUGAGUGAUGAAGGCCGGAGGGUUGUAAAGCUCGUUUACCCGGGAUGAUAAUGACAGUACCGGGAGAAUAAGCACCGGCUAACUCCGUG